GGUGAACAUCCCAAUUAUACACACGAGCAAUCGUAACCUGCCAAAAUAUAAUUCACCUCUCAAGGGUUGUUUUCUCCCCCCAAAACAGAAAAUUUUAAGGGACCACCAACAUUUUCCAUGAUUUAAACUAAAGAGUUGUCACAAAUUAGCUUGUCUUCGCAAUUUAUAGCCUCACGCCAGUUACAAAUUUCACGGCAGCAGUAGUUCAACAACAACAAUCCUACC